rnacentral:tRNA from 1 species
GGAGAGGUGGCUGAGUGGUCGAAAGCACCGGUCUUGAAAACCGGCGAGGGUUUAUCCCCUCCCAGGGUUCGAAUCCCUGCCUCUCCGCCA